rnacentral:lncRNA from 1 species
UUGUUUCAUCAGAAUUUGAGCAGAAAGUUUCAGCUUUUGCAACUCACAACUUAGUCUAUGGUUGUGGGUUGAUGAUGACGAUGCUAUGAAACUGAAGUAGUGAUGAUGCCUAGAUACACAUAUAGACGUUUUAGGCUUUAAUAUGUUGUAUAAAUUUUUGUACUUGUUUGUUGUAUUGUUUUUCUUGUAUUGAACAUGUUGUAUUUUAAGUUCCAUGUAUUGUAACAUUUUUUAUGAAUGAAAUCAAUCUAUUUUUAAUUCUAU